rnacentral:sRNA from 1 species
UGGAAGUGGGAUAUCAUGGGAUGGGAGAUUGGCGGACAGGGUAACCAGGAAGUAGGAUUUCAUUUGAGAUGUAAACAAAUCGCAUGAUUAAUUAAAAAACAGAGAAAAGAUGACAGAAAGUAAGAGACUGGAAGUCAGCUUUACAAUACAUCUCUUUUCUCUGUUGAGAUAAAUGUUUUGUAAAAAUAUACAGUAAGUAUUUAGGAUAGUCCGGGAAAUAAACUGAGCUGAUAUAUGAUAUGACAAUGGUUAGGCAUGAUUUUGCCUCUGGCAAUUCAUUUUAUAUGCUAAUAUUUCAUCUUUAUCUAAGCUUUAUGCAAUUAUAAAUGAGUAGGAGUUAUAAAGAAUUGUUAUCACAUUCAAUUCGUUAUAAUCUUGAAGAGAAAGGAAAAGAUAGUGGAAACUCUUUACACUGCUAUUUAUAUUUUGUGGUACAUUCAUAAAUUACCACAGUUCUCACCAGUAGCUUGUAGCCUCCUUUAUUCUCCUGAUAGACCUAAUGCUUAGAAAGCUAAAAGUCCUGUGUGGCCUCAAGUGCUAGGACCAAUCAAAGUUUGUAUCUUUAACCUUUUUACCAUCCACAUAGUCACCAUGUCUUAUUUAUUAAGCCAUCCUACAAUCAGAAAACAAACCUAUUGAGACCUUAAGUAUUUAUUAAAUAUGUUCAGUUUUGUCACAGUAUUUUUGAGAAGCUAACUAACUUUGUGAGAGUGUAAAAUUAAACUUUGUUUGAGUGUCUGUGUGAUAUACACUACACAGAUGAAAGGGUUUGAUGCCAGGAAUUUCCAUUCACAGUAAGAAAGUUUGUGAGAAGGCAAAGAGAACUGAUGGCAGUUGCUGUUACUAAAGAUCUUAGCCCUGCCCCACAAAACCUCCCGAUGGAGCCUCAGUCACUCAGGCGUUUCAAACAUGUCCUUUAGUUUUUACAUAGCAACACAAAGCUCUGGGUUUAAGGUCCAGCAACAUAUUCAAACUGAAAUACAACCCAAAAGGAGGAAGACGUAGAAAGCAUUAUAUGUGGUCAGUGCAGAGUAUUUUUAAUUUCGAGUAAUAGAGACUAGAAGGGGCGUGUAAACUGGAUGUCACUGAUCAAAGCUUUGUCUUUGUGGAUGAAAACACACCUUGAUGCACCGAGGUACUUUCAGCUGGGUUUCCACAGCAAAUUCUGCCAACCAGAAAAUCCUCAUACAACUUUAACAUAUGAAAACAUGGCUUUAUAUUUUUGCGAUAAUACGUAUUUUUAUUACUUUGUGGGUGGGGUAUCUUGAUGCCUUGAUAUAAAGUAUUUGGAUAUCAAUUGUAAUGUGCUUGGUUUGCAAAGGGUAGCCAAUUUUAACCUGGAAGAUCCAUACUCACGUGAUGGCAGGUAGAGGGGUGGCUUCUUACCUGGGUAAUAUUUUAAUUUUAUAACGUUGGAAAAUAUGCCACUUAAGGUAUGAUAAAAUAGAUUGGAGCACUAGGAAAACAAAUCUGUAGAAGAAGAAUCAAACUGUCCCAAGUCCCGAGAGCGGUUCUGUGGUCUGAGCAGGUGUUUGACUUAUAACAUUCAAAGAAAAAUGGCCAGUGAUAGUCUUUUGAGUGAGUAAAUAGCUAAAUUUGUCUUGCCGUGGUAACUCCUAUUGUCCUUGUAGAGAAAAUGUUACAUAGUUUUCUUGAAUUCUGCUAGUCCCUAUCAUAGUAGUUGACAUGUUGAAAGUGUUUACUGUAACAUAUUUUCUAAGGUUUUUAGUCUAAAGAAAUGAACUAAAAUAUAUGUGACUGUUAAUGUGGAAUGCUAGAUGUUUAACAGCAUGUAUAUAUCAUGUGUCUCCUCACUGAAUGAUUUAGUAGACUGGCCUACAACAAUCACUGGAUGCCAGCUCUGUGCUCACUAUAGUCUAUAUCAUGCAACCCCUGUUUUGUAUGAUCAUGCAAUUUAUUGAAAAGGGGGGAGGGAGAGAGAAUAGCAGUACACAUAAGGUGAGAUUCCUCUAUUUUCUGUGCUACUAAGAAUUUUUAAAGAAUCUUCAAAAAGCUACGCUAAUGUUCUAAUUAAUUUAUCUGUUUCAAGCCUUAAUUAGAUAAUCAUUACAGAUCCAUUUGUGCAAAUUUGGUGUAUUUUUUUAAUAGAGUGCAUGCUUUCUGGGAAACUACUUAAAAUUUUCCAAAACUCUCUUCAAUUCUCUGACAUCAUUAUCUUCCUUAUUCUUGUUUAAUGACUGUCCUUUCUUGUUGUCAAAUAAACUGAAGAUGAGAUGGUCUUCAUUGUCCUGCCAUUAUGCUCAGAAUCAUCAUGUUUAUCAGUGGCAUACAUUCCUCUUUUACUUCUCUUCAGGUAGAGAUUGUAACCUUCUGGGUUCCUUCGUUUGUCACAAGUUGAUUGUUACUUACUGUACCAGUAUCUAACCAAACUUUGAGUUCAGGAAAAUUGUCUGUAAGAGAAUAAAGCAGAAUUUCCUGUGCAUACAUGGACAGGCACAGAGGUAUUUACACACACAUAAAACACAUAUGCAAGGUAAUCCCUCAAAGAAAACAGAGGUAUAGUCAGACAAAUUAAAGAAACAAGAUGACAUUACACAGCAAUACUCAACUCAUGGGUCAAAAUCCUCCAUAUCAGAUAAUUAAGAUUAUGAUUCAUAACAGUAGCAAAAUUACAGAAAUGAAGUAGCAAUGAAAUAAUUUUAUGGUUGGGGGCUACCACAACAUAAGAAGCUGUGUUAAAGAGUGGCAGCAUUCGCAAGGUUGAGAACCACUGAUUGAAAGGUAGGAGUGUCAGCCA